rnacentral:rRNA from 1 species
UACAGAGGUCGCAAGCGUUGUUCGGAUUCAUUGGGCGUAAAGGGUGUGUAGGUGGCUCGCUAAGUCGGGUGUGAAAUUUCGGAGCUUAACUCCGAAACUGCAUUCGAUACUGGCGUGCUUGAGGACUGGAGAGGAGACUGGAAUUCAUGGUGUAGCAGUGAAAUGCGUAGAGAUCAUGAGGAAGACCAGUGGCGAAGGCGGGUCUCUGGACAGUUCCUGACACUGAGACACGAAGGCCAGGGGAGCAAACGGG